GAUGAACGCUGGCGGCGUGCUUAACACAUGCAAGUCGAACGAGGAUUUAACGGAAUGCGAUUCGUCAAAUGAAAUUAAAUCCGAGUGGCGGACGGGUGAGUAACGCGUGGAUAACCUGCCUCACACAGGGGGACAACAGUUGGAAACGACUGCUAAUACCGCAUAAGCCCACGACCCGGCAUCGGGAAGAGGGAAAAGGAGCAAUCCGCUUUGAGAUGGCCUCGCGUCCGAUUAGCUAGUUGGUGAGGUAACGGCCCACCAAGGCGACGAUCGGUAGCCGGACUGAGAGGUUGAACGGCCACACUGGAACUGAGACACGGUCCAGACUCCUACGGGAGGCAGCAGUGGGAAUCUUCCGCAAUGGGCAAAGCCUGACGGAGCAACGCCGCGUGAGUGAUGACGGCCUCGGUUGUAAGAC
rnacentral:rRNA from 1 species